AUUUUUACUGAGAUCAUCAUAGAAGCAUUAAUGCAUCACGGGAAUAUUUUCCCAUGACACAGCCAGAAUAUUUGACCAGAAGGAGCAGGAUCCGAAGCAGUGGCCGCUACAACAUCAGAAUGGUCGAUAACUGAGGACGGCCUUGUAGGUUUGAGCCCUGACAUAACUGUAGAAGCAAAGUAAUGCAAAAUCAUACGUGAAUUUGGAACUCGAGAUUAGUAGGUAAUAAAGUCUCUAGCAUCUAUAGAAAAUAACAGAUUGUUUGAUAAUUUCGAAAUGGCUCGAGUGGCUAUACUGUGAUGUCAAUCAUUCGAAGCAAAAACAAUGUAUGAGUGUUCCACAUAUUUGAGAAAACCUCAAUCUAACCUUUAAUAUAUUACCCCAUUAAACCCCUUUUCUUUUCUUUUUUGAUAUUAUCAAGUUUGUCUCAAAUAGUGGACAUUGGACAGGGUUACUUUGGAACAGGUGCUUAUUAUUAUUAACAUGUAUUUUUCAGGUUAACUUACAUGUAUCUUGACUAAUUUUAUGGGCCUGAAAUUAAUCUUUUUUUUUUUAGUGUUCCUUCACGGUGAUGGAUAUUUCAAGUCGAGGUAAGAGUGAAAAUGCCAAGGAGUCUUCAAAAUUCAACUGGGUCGUGGAUUCCAAGUCAGAAUCAGGUGAAUUAUGAGAAGGUUUUGCCUGGUUGGCGAUGGUGAUGUUUCGAUGGAAUAGAGCAGGAAAAAAAUGUCCUGUUUGGAGUGAGAUUGAAGUAAGUUCUCUCACCUAACACUUAAUUGAUGUUGAGGGUGCCAAAUCUUUUGCUUACAUUGGCAGAUACCUCUCGCUAACAGGUAAGAUAUGUUCAUCUCACCUUCCAUUCUUUUGUGCGGUGAGAAUUGCUUACCAUCCUCUGAAAUGCUUAGAGAUUCUGGUAAAAAGACGAGUUACAUUAUUAUUAUUAUUAUUAUUAUUAUUAUACUCAAGAAUGUGUUGGACCAGAACAGAACACCCUUUGUAAAGUGCAUGUCAAGUAAUUUCUGUCUUAAAACGGUGUCUUGGUCAUUAGAAAUUGAAGAUUUUACCUUGUUUGACUGUAGUUUUGCCUCAACCUACUUCCUUCUGGAAGUAAGUCAAACCAUAUGGGAAAAUAAUAAAUUAAACCCAAAACCAAACAAUCUUAAAUAAUAAUAAUAAUAAUAAUAAUAAUAAUAAAUAUAACAAAGUUAGGCACCAACCUUGGUUGCUAAAAAUAUAAGAGAGCUAAAGUUGCAUUCUCAUACAAGCUCCACCAUUGCCAAACUCCCUCUCUCUCACACACACGAUUCAAGCAGCUCAGUCUAUCUCCAACAUCUUGCUUCAAUUUUACCAGCCGGAUUCCGGUGAUUGCAUGGAAUUGUAGGAGCCCUACAUUCCUGUAAACACAGAGCACCACGCGAGUAAAAAGGAGUUCCAAGGUUUGUGUACAUGGCUAUCCAUAUAAACAGUUUUUAAUUAAUUUACAUUAACAUUUUGGUUUUCUUUGUGAGUUUCCAGGGCUCCUUACAAUUUUGGUUUUCUUUGUGAGUUUCCAGGGCUCCUUAC
rnacentral:lncRNA from 1 species